rnacentral:rRNA from 1 species
UACGUAGGGUGCAAGCGUUAAUCGGAAUUACUGGGCGUAAAGCGUGCGCAGGCGGUUUUGUAAGACUGUCGUGAAAUCCCCGGGCUUAACCUGGGAAUGGCGAUGGUGACUGCAAGGCUAGAGUUUGGCAGAGGGGGGUAGAAUUCCACGUGUAGCAGUGAAAUGCGUAGACAUGUGGAGGAACACCGAUGGCGAAGGCAGCCCCCUGGGUCAAAACUGACGCUCAUGCACGAAAGCGUGGGGAGCAAACAGG